GACGAACGCUGGCGGCGUGCCUAAUACAUGCAAGUCGAGCGAAGUUUUUCUGGUGCUUGCACUAGAAAAACUUAGCGGCGAACGGGUGAGUAACACGUAAAGAACCUGCCUCAUAGACUGGGACAACUAUUGGAAACGAUAGCUAAUACCGGAUAACAGUAUUUCUCGCAUGAGAGAGAUUUAAAAGUUGGUUAUGCUAACACUAUGAGAUGGCUUUGCGGUGCAUUAGCUAGUUGGUGGGGUAAAGGCCCACCAAGGCGACGAUGCAUAGCCGACCUGAGUGGGUGAUCGGCCACACUGGGACUGAGACACGGCCCAGACUCCUGCGGGAGGCAGCAGUAGGGAAUCUUCCGCAAUGGGCGAAAGCCUGACGGAGCAACGCCGCGUGAGUGAAGAAGGAUUUCGGUUCGUAAAGCUCUGUUGUUAGGGAAGAAUGGAUAUGUAGUAACUAUACAUGUAAGAGACGGUACCUAACCAGAAAGCCACGGCUAACUACGUG
rnacentral:rRNA from 1 species